CCUAGGCGUAGGAUCGGCCGGUCCUACGACUUAUAUUCUGCUUACCGCCGGGCAUAGUAAGACCCCGCGAGGUGCAGUAUGGCUUUCCGCGGAUGUAGAAUUCCCGCGAGGUGCCGUUUAGUAUAUAGAUGUGAGAUGGAUUUCUGUUCUGGAUACUGGCCAGCAUUUACAUGAUCAGUGUGGUAUCUUAUCCUGCAUAUGCAUAUGACAGUAGGGAGUUGUUGCUGGUUCGCCUGGG
rnacentral:lncRNA from 1 species